rnacentral:rRNA from 1 species
GACGAACGCUGGCGGCGUGCCUAAUACAUGCAAGUCGAGCGCAGGAGCUAGAUACUUGUCUCUACUGGGUGAGCAGCGAACGGGUGAGUAACGCGUGGGUAAUCUGCCUUUGAGCGGGGGACAACUUCGGGAAACGAAUGCUAAUACCGCAUGAAAACUUUAAACACAAGGUUUAAGAGUGAAAGAUGCACUUGCAUCACUCAAAGAUGAUCUCCCGUUUGAUUAGCUAGUUGGGUAGGUAAAGGCUCCACAAGGCGAGGGUACAUAGCCCACCUGGGAGGGGGGUCCGCCCCAUUGGGAAUGAGACACGGCCCCAAACCCUACGGGAGGCAGCAGUAGGGAAUCUUCGGCCAUGGACGGAAGUCUGAACGAGCAACGCCGCGGGGGGGAAGAAGGGUCUCGGAUCGUAAAACUCUGUUGGUAGAGAAGAACGUUGGUGAGAGUGGAAAGCUCAUAAAGUGACGGUAACUACCCAGAAAGCGACGGCUAACUACGUG